GCCCUGGUGGUGAAAUUGGUAGACACAAGGGAUUUAAAAUCCCUCGCCGUUCGCGGCGUGCCGGUUCAAGUCCGGCCCGGGGCACCA
rnacentral:tRNA from 1 species